rnacentral:rRNA from 1 species
UACCCGCUGGAAAUUAAGCAUAUCAAUAAGCGGAGGAAAAGAAACUAACAAGGAUUCCCCUAGUAACGGCGAGUGAAGAGGGAUCAGCCCAAAUUUGUAAUCUGGCUCUUUCAGAGUCUGAGUUGUAAUUUUGAGAACUGUUUUCUGCUCUGGACCAUGUACAAGUCUGUUGAAAUGCAGCAUCAUUGAGGGUGAGAAUCCUGUUUAUGAUAUGGACUACCAGGGCUUUAUGAUACAGUCUCUAAGAGUCGAGUUGUUUGGGAAUGCAGCUCAAAGUGGGUGGUAAAUUCCAUCUAAGGCUAAAUAUUGGUGAGAGACCGAUAGCAAACAAGUACCGUGAGGGAAAGAUGAAAAGAACUUUGGAAAGAGAGUUAACAGUACGUGAAAUUGUUAAAAGGGAAACAGUUGAAGUUAGACUUGUUGUUGUUGGUUCAGCCCUUUAAGGGUGUUUUCUGGCAGUUAACAAACCAACAUCAAUCUUUGGGUGCUGGAUAAGGGUCAUUGAAAUGUAGCAGUUUUGGCUGUGUUAUAGUCUUUGACUUGGAUACAGUGCCUGGGAUUGAGGAUUGCAGUAAGCCAUUUAUUUGGUGGGACAAUUUAUUGUUCUUCUUACUGAGGAUGUUGGUGCAAUAGCUUUAAUUGACCCGUCUUGAAACACGGACCCAAGGAGA